rnacentral:lncRNA from 1 species
AUGGCUCACCUGAUGCAGCCGGCAGAGUGUGGCUGGUCUCUGUGCUGUGUUGUAUCGCAUUCUGCGAACUCAUGGAAAUGGAUCCUUGGUGAAGAUGGCUUGUGGCCCAAGCUUCCUGUCCUCGCUGCCCUCAAGUCCACUUUGAAUUCUUCUCCCUGGUUUCCUCCUUUUUCUCUCUUUCCACCAACAUACUACUGCACGUCAAAGCUGGUGGUGCAGUGCAGAGCACAAG